rnacentral:rRNA from 1 species
GACGAACGCUGGCGGCGUGCUUAACACAUGCAAGUCGAACGGAAAGGCCCCUUUGGGGGUACUCGAGUGGCGAACGGGUGCGUAACACGUGAGUAACCUGCCCUUGACUUCGGGAUAACUUCAGGAAACUGGGGCUAAUACCGGAUAGGAAUCCUUGCUGCAUGGUGGGGGUUGGAAAGCUUCGGCGGUUUUGGGUGGACUCGCGGCCUAUCUGCUUGUUGGUGGGGUAGUGGCUUACCAAGGCUUUGACGGGUAGCCGGCCUGAGGGGGCGACCGGCCACAUUGGGACUGAGAUACGGCCCAGACUCCUACGGGAGGCAGCAGUGGGGAAUAUUGCACAAUGGGCGGAAGCUUGAUGCAGCAACGCCGCGGGCGGGAUGACGGCCUUCGGGUUGUAAACCGCUUUCAGCAGGGGCGAAGCUUGUGGUGACGGUACCUGCAGAAGAAGCACCGGCUAACUACGUG